GCCUGGGUGGCUCAGUCGGCUGAGCGUCCGACUUCGGCUCAGGUCGUGAUCUCGCGGUUAUGUGGGUUCGAGCCCCAUGUCGGGCU
rnacentral:tRNA from 1 species